CCUACGGGCGGCUGCAGUGGGGAAUAUUGGACAAUGGGCGCAAGCCUGAUCCAGCAAUGCCGCGUGUGUGAAGAAGGCCUGCGGGUUGUAAAGCACUUUAAGCAGGAAAGAAGGAGUGAAAGUUAAUACCUUUCAUCAUUGACGUUACCUGCAGAAUAAGCACCGGCUAACUCCGUGCCAGCAGCCGCGGUAAUACGGAGGUUGCGAGCGUUAAGCGGACUUACUGGGCGUAAAGCGCGCGUCGUGGGUUCCCUGGGCUCAACCGGGGAACUGCGGUGGAUACUGUCGGGCUAGAGUGUGGUAGAGGGGAGUGGAAUUUCCGGUGUAGCAGUGAAAUGCGUAGAGAUCGGAAGGAACACCAGUGGCGAAGGCGGCUCCCUGGACUAACACUGACGCUGAGGUGCGAAAGCGUGGGGAGCAAACAGGAUUAGAUACCCCAGUAGUC
rnacentral:rRNA from 1 species